AGAGUUUGAUCCUGGCUCAGGAUGAACGCUAGCUACAGGCUUAACACAUGCAAGUCGAGGGGAAACGAUAGAGAAAGCUUGCUUUUUCUAGGCGUCGACCGGCGCACGGGUGAGUAACGCGUAUCCAACCUGCCCAUCACUUGGGGAUAACCUUGCGAAAGUAAGACUAAUACCCAAUGACGUCCAUAGAAGACAUCUGAAGGAGAUUAAAGAUUUAUCGGUGAUGGAUGGGGAUGCGUCUGAUUAGCUUGUUGGCGGGGUAACGGCCCACCAAGGCGACGAUCAGUAGGGGUUCUGAGAGGAAGGUCCCCCACAUUGGAACUGAGACACGGUCCAAACUCCUACGGGAGGCAGCAGUGAGGAAUAUUGGUCAAUGGGCGAGAGCCUGAAUCAGCCAAGUAGCGUGCAGGAAGACGGCCCUAUGGGUUGUAAACUGCUUUUAUAAGGGAAUAAAGUGAGUCUCGUGAGACUUUUUGCAUGUACCUUAUGAAUAAGGACCGGCUAAUUCCGUGCCAGCAGCCGCGGUAAUACGGAAGGUCCGGGCGUUAUCCGGAUUUAUUGGGUUUAAAGGGAGCGUAGGCCGGAGAUUAAGCGUGUUGUGAAAUGUAGACGCUCAACGUCUGCACUGCAGCGCGAACUGGUUUCCUUGAGUACGCACAAAGUGGGCGGAAUUCGUGGUGUAGCGGUGAAAUGCUUAGAUAUCACGAAGAACUCCGAUUGCGAAGGCAGCUCACUGGAGCGCAACUGACGCUGAAGCUCGAAAGUGCGGGUAUCGAACAGGAUUAGAUACCCUGGUAGUCCGCACGGUAAACGAUGGAUGCCCGCUGUUGGUCUGAAUAGGUCAGCGGCCAAGCG
rnacentral:rRNA from 1 species